rnacentral:lncRNA from 1 species
ACAAAAGAGUUAAGAGUAAAAAUGGUUUGAAAAUCUUAAUACACAACAAAGAGAAUGUAUCAUGCUUGACUAGAACCAGUGUUGUGUUCAAGGAGAUUUUUCAAGCACUAUGUUAAGUUGGUAAAUGACUUUUUUUUUUUUUUUUAUUCUACAAUUUUAUUCUCCAUCUUUUAUUAAUGUAUCUUUGAUUGUGAAUUUUGUAUUUUGGAUAUUGGAUCCAUUAUGAUAUAUUUUUUCAUGUUUUUG